rnacentral:rRNA from 1 species
UACGUAGGGGGCUAGCGUUGCUCGGAAUCACUGGGCGUAAAGCGCACGUAGGCGGCUUGCUAAGUCGGGGGUGAAAUCCUGGAGCUCAACUCCAGAACUGCCUUCGAUACUGGCGAGCUCGAGUCCGGGAGAGGUGAGUGGAACUGCGAGUGUAGAGGUGAAAUUCGUAGAUAUUCGCAAGAACACCAGUGGCGAAGGCGGCUCACUGGCCCGGUACUGACGCUGAGGUGCGAAAGCGUGGGGAGCAAACAGG